UACAGAGGUCUCAAGCGUUGUUCGGAUUCAUUGGGCGUAAAGGGUGUGUAGGUGGCGCCGUAAGUCGGGUGUGAAAUUUCGGAGCUUAACUCCGAAACUGCAUUCGAUACUGCGGUGCUUGAGGACUGGAGAGGAGACUGGAAUUCAUGGUGUAGCAGUGAAAUGCGUAGAUAUCAUGAGGAAGACCAGUGGCGAAGGCGGGUCUCUGGACAGUUCCUGACACUGAGACACGAAGGCCAGGGGAGCAAACGGG
rnacentral:rRNA from 1 species